rnacentral:rRNA from 1 species
GCGGUAAGGCCCUUCGGGGUACACGAGCGGCGAACGGGUGAGUAACACGUGAGCAACCUGCCCCUGACUCCGGGAUAAGCGGUGGAAACGCCGUCUAAUACCGGAUAUGACACACCAUCUCCUGGUGGUGUGUGGAAAGUUUUAUCGGUCAGGGAUGGGCUCGCGGCCUAUCAGCUUGUUGGUGGGGUAAAGGCCUACCAAGGCGAUUACGGGUAGCCGGCCUGAGAGGGCGACCGGCCACACUGGGACUGAGACACGGCCCAGACUCCUGCGGGAGGCAGCAGUGGGGAAUAUUGCACAAUGGGCGAAAGCCUGAUGCAGCGACGCCGCGUGGGGGAUGACGGCCUUCGGGUUGUAAACCUCUUUUACCACCAACGCAGGCCCCGGGUUCUCUCGGGGUUGACGGUAGGUGGGGAAUAAGGACCGGCUAACUACGUGCCAGCAGCCGCGGUAAUACGUAGGGUCCGAGCGUUGUCCGGAAUUAUUGGGCGUAAAGAGCUCGUAGGCGGCGUGUCGCGUCUGCUGUGAAAGACCGGGGCUUAACCCCGGUUCUGCAGUGGAUACGGGCAUGCUAGAGGUAGGUAGGGGAGACUGGAAUUCCUGGUGUAGCGGUGAAAUGCGCAGAUAUCAGGAGGAACACCGGUGGCGAAGGCGGGUCUCUGGGCCUUACCUGACGCUGAGGAGCGAAAGCAUGGGGAGCGAACAGGAUUAGAUACUCUGGUAGUCCAUGCCGUAAACGUUGGGCGCUAGGUGUGGGGACUUUCCACGGUUUCCGCGCCGUAGCUAACGCAUUAAGCGCCCCGCCUGGGGAGUACGGCCGCAAGGCUAAAA